GCAGCGAGCAAGCGAGAGAGAGAGAGAGAGAGAGAGAGAGAAGGGGAGGGACGGAGGGAGAGGGAGCGAUGGAGCACUCGUUCUCGGGGGGGAGCUGGAACGUGAUCCCGAGCAUGGCGACCCACAGCAACGUCUCUACGCCCACGAGCCAUGAUCAUCUCUAUCUCCAGCAACAACCCCCCGACCUUAUUCCCCAGCAGCAGCAACCCUUUCACCAAUUUCAACCUCAGCUCCCCCAAUUCCAACAACACCCGCAGUUUCCGCAGCAGCAGCAACAGCAGCAGCGUUUCGUUCAGCAGCAGCAGCAACACCAGUCUCUCGCUUCUCACUUCCACCUCUUGCACUUGGUGGAGAGUUUGGCGGAUGCCGUUGAGAACGGGACUCGCGACCAGCACUCCGAUUCCUUGGUCAGUGAACUGAACAAUCAGUUUGAGAAGUGCCAGCAGCUGUUGAACUCGAUAGCUGGGUCAAUUAGCUCCAAAGCUGUGGCACACUUUCUGUGCCCACUUGACUAGGCUCUUCCUUAUCCUGACCAUAGAGCCCCAAACCUGCUCCUUCGCCCCAAUCGAAGUCCAACCCUUUAUGUUGUAUCAUCAGACAGUUGAGGGGCAGAAGCGUAAGCUGGAGGAAGCUGAGCAAAUGCUAAACCAAAGAAGGGAUCUAAUUGCCAGUUACAGAAAUUCAGUUGAGGAACUGAUAAAGUCCGAGCCUUAGAUGCUCAUUCUCCAUGCGUAGAUUUAUAUAGAAGAACGUUAAAGUUUUAUGGUUGGGUUAGAAGGGAAAUUUGAAACUGGUAUUAGAAUUUGGGGGUGUUAUGUUGGUCGAAAGCAACAUUGUGCCGCUUGAUCAUAUUUCAGUGCGAGGCAAUCUUCUUGUGGAGAUUUCGACUGGAAUCUGUUGGUUUAUCAUCCGAUGGUAGUGUC